rnacentral:rRNA from 1 species
UGCAGUCGAGGGGGCUAUCGGUUUCGGCUGGUAGUCACCGGCGAACGGGUGCGUAACACGUGAGCGACCUGCCCCACCGGUGGGGAAUAGUCGGCCCAACGGCCGGGUAAUACCGCAUACGCUCUUUUCGGGGCAUCUCGAGGAGAGGAAAGCCCUGGGCAACCAGGGCACCGGGGGAGGGGCUCGCGGCCUAUCAGCUAGUUGGAGGGGUAACGGCCCACCAAGGCUACGACGGGUAGCUGGUCUGAGAGGAUGGCCAGCCACAUUGGGACUGAGAUACGGCCCAGACUCCUACGGGAGGCAGCAGUGGGGAAUAUUGCGCAAUGGCCUAAGGGCUGACGCAGCGACGCCGCGUGUGGGAGGACGCCCCUAGGGGUGUAAACCACUGUUGCCCGGGACGAAUCCUGGAUUAGCUCCAGGUUGACGGUACCGGGUGAGGAAGCACCGGCUAACUCCGUGCCAGCAGCC